GAUUUCUGGUUUGGUAUGCCUGACCCGUUAUGGUUACAUAAUUGUGUGUCGGUGCGUGCUUACCAUCCUUCUAGAGAAUUAUUCGUUAUUCUUUAUUGAGUAAUGGGUAAUCGCUCUAGAUCUUUUACUUUGAAAAAAUUAGAGUGUUUAAAGCAGGCAUUGUUUGCUAUGAAUACAUUAGCAUGGAAUAAUCAUCUAGGACUAUUAUCGGUCUUAUUUUGUUGGUUUCGCGGGCUGAAGUCAUGAUUGAUAGGGAUAGUUGGGGGUGCUAGUAUUGGCCGGCCAGAGGUGAAAUUCUUGGAUUCGGUCAAGACUAACUUAUGCGAAAGCAUU
rnacentral:rRNA from 1 species